AGGAGGCUGAGCCAAUCAGGAGAGAAGGCGGUGGGCUCUAGUCCCGCUUCACCUGUCCAGUAACUUUCCAGGUUUUCCUAAAUCCGCAAGCUCAGCUCUCGGACAAGGCACCUCCCAGGCUCAACUCUAGUGCUGGGAGAGGGGUAUCUACCAAAUUAAGACCGGGGUCCUGCCUUCCUAAGGUUCCACCAUUUCUCAAUGCCACCGGUUGGAGACAAAGCCUUCCACAGUCAACCAAAGAGAAGUGCAGGGACAACAGAAGGGGACAGUGACCUGAUAGAAGGAGGGUAGAGAAGAGACACAGUCGUGAAGAGCUAAGAAGUACUGUCUUCUGUUUGGAUUUUGUAACAGAAUCAUCUGGGACUUAAUGACAUCCUUAAUGUCAACUGAAUUGCAAUGCAAUCAAUGCAAGUGAUGGAAUACGCAGACAGCUUUGAUGUUGGCUGUUAUAAGGCAGGAGGCUGGUGAAAGGAAAACACUCAAUUUGAUGACUGGAAUCUGUAACUGCUCCAGUUACCACCCUGGGAUGGAAGGAGUCUGCCUCAGCCUGGCUGCCAGGAAACCUGAGCCCCAGUCCUAUUUCCUCCACUGACAUGUGAGAGAAGGACUCUUGGAGCCCUGUUUUUCUAUCAUCUCACUGUGCCCUCACGGCAGCCCUGUGAAGUGCAGAAGGUGAUUCACUAUUGCAGUUUGACUGGUGAUGAAACUGAAGCUCACAGAAGUCACAUGAUUUAGGCAUGAACACAGAACUAAGGAAAGGUAGACGUAUCUACCUCACUUAUUCACCUAACAAUUCCAUGGUGCUAAGUAUAUGGACUUUGAAACCCAGCUGCUUAUGUUUAAGUCCAGACACUGCUAGUUUCCACCUUCCUGCCUGACCACCCUGCCCCUCAUUUCUAAGACAGGAAUAAUAAUAGUAUUUAGCACCAAGAGAUGUUGAGGGAAUUCUGCGUAUAAUGCUUAGAAAAAUUCCUGGCAUGGGUAUUUGUCAUUACUGUUAUCCUUGCCACCAAACCAGUGUCCCUCUGGACCCAAGUUCAGAAAAGAUUUAAUAAAUUGUGCUGAAUUAAUUGAUUGUUGUGAG